CAUGUUUGCAUCUAUCACUCAUAACUAACUGUCGAGUUUAACAUUUUUAUUUUUACAGCAUCAAAGUAAUUCUUGGUAUCUUUUUUCUAAUCUAAAGUGUGUCUGCAGGUGUUGGUUUGUGCCCACUUACAUCCUGAAAACUAACAGCUGGUCCAGGAGGUCCGGGAGGCCCCGGUGGCCCUGAUAGACUGAGUCCAUCGGCCCCUGGAUCGCCCUGCAGGACGCAUUCAAAAAUACUCCACUCUCCUUGCAGACCUGGAGUCCCGUCUCUUCCUGGAGGACCCUGGGCAACCAAUCAGAGGCAGACAGCAGAAGAAAGAAGGAACUGUCAGAAAAAACCCACAAUGAAUCUAUUCCUUUAAGAGAGACCAACAUUCAAUUCAAACCAAAGGGCAGCACUGUUUCUGUGACAGCAAGAGGAGGAACGGGGAAAUCGAUGCCAACUCGAUAAAUCUAUGAUGAACAACAAUAAAACAAAUUUUGAAAGAUCCAGGACUUCUCUUUGUAUUUCAAUUACUGGUUUGACCAACACAAAAACACAUUUUAGUUGAUAUAACCAGUAACUUACUUAGUUAAAUAUGUAGUACAAAAUAGUACAAGAAUGACUAUUCUUCAUUAAAUCAAGUUAUGCUGCCAUAUGAACAUAUCAGAGUUUUUUUUUCUGUAUUUUGAAUGUGAUAAUAUUUGGAUUUUCUUUUCAAGCAAUUAAAACAAAAAUAAAACUGAAGAAUAAAAAACAAACAAAAAUAUACCAAUAU